UAUCAGACAAUAAAAUUGAUAGUAUUUUUUUUUUUUUUUAAAUUCAGAUACUGAUAUACAGAUUAAAAGUUAGGCCUGCAGUAUAUCAUUGUUAACCUUCUGAUAAAAAAAAAAUCAACAGCAAAAGAAGAUGUUAAAAAUAAAGUUUAUGGUUGUGAAUAAAAUUGAUUUCAAUAAUCUUUUUUAAUUAUUAUUUUUAAAACAACUUUAUGUUGUUGUGUUUCACGCCAUAUUAUCAGACCACCUUAAGUGGGUCCGCCUUAAAUUUUGAGUUUGUGUGAUCGCUGUUGAUUGGUAGCUAAACUGCUGGUAAACUGUGUACAGAAAAAAAAAAUUCUGGUAGCAACAUUGUGCAGUAUGAGCGAACCAUUUCACCAAAAAAAGGGGAAGCAAGGCAAGACGUGGCUGCAGCGGUCUGUGACUUCUGAUCAAAUUCGAAUCUCCUCCUAAAGAAACAAAGAGCGACAUUAUAUUGCGGGAUGAUGUCACCUGAAAAUGACCAAUAGCGCGGCGCGCUGCUGAGCUGUGUGCCAACCGCUCCUUUUUUCAUGCAGGAGACUCAAGUUGGCUUCGCUACCGGACACAGUUUUGAACUCGUAUAUUAGCGCCAUUUAUUGCUGCUUGGACCACAGCAUCUUCGGAAUUUGUAGACAUCCUGGCAGCUUACAAUUAGUUCGAGGUGAGGUGAGUACAUGCAACUUCAAGUUAUCUCUGUUAUAAAAAUCCACCAGCCCAGCGUUUAUAGAUAAUUUUAGCAGUUCGUUUUUUAUGAGUGAGGUUGUGAAUUUAGUUAGCAUUUGUGAGUUGAGUUAGCAUUACUGUCAGGAGGGAAGCAUUGCUCUGGAUUAGUUUCUGUGUUUGGCGUGCUUAAUUCGCUAGGGAGGAAUUACCAAAGUACAUGGAGUUAUGUUAACCUGUAAUUUCUGUGGUAAGGUAGUUCAGUCAUCAAGGGGCUACGUGCUUCAUUGUAAACUGCAUCGGAAUGAGCCACGUUGUUUCUUUCGGUGUAUUGAAGCAGGCUGCAAGCAGACAUACACCAGACACUGAAUUUGAGCAGAAACCAUAAGGAUACUCAAAGGACCCGUGACUCUCAGGAAAUGGUGAGAUUUCAGCAUCAAAUGAGAGGGACAGAUGAAACAGUUUCAAGACAAUGGCAGGAAAAACAUGCUGAAGAUUGAAACAAACCUUGGCUGGAAAUAUUUGAAGGAAGGUAUCUAGCCAGUCCACAUUGAAAGCUUCGUUGCACCCCAUGAGUCUUCUGGCAGAAAUGAUGGCGCCUGUAUUCUUUGGUUUCCCUAAACAUCACACCCUGCCUGUUUAUACGAGGCUCUUCAAUUAAGUCUGCACCCAAAGAUUCAAUAAGAGAUGGAGGAUCACUGACAGGAGCGUGGAAGACUCCAGAAUCCACUCUGGCUGGAAUCCGGUGGAUACAGCAGUGUUACAGAACAGUUCUCCACAGUCGCUGUCCACAUGGGUCAGUGGGACCAAGCAGCACUCUGCUAAUGUGUGGACUCUGACCAGCAACAUCCAGCAAGACCCAGGCAGCGUUUUCUAUCUCCCAGCUGGAGUUUUUUUGUUUGUCUGUGACUGGAGAGUCAGAUUUUUGUUGAGGCUGGAGGAACAGCCUCACACUUGCAGAGGUUAAUACACGCUACUGAUCCCUGAUGGGAGAAUCAUCACCUCUGCCAACAAAGAAGCCUGGUGGAUAUUUGUUUGCAGUCUGAUGAUGGGACAUCAUGCUCUGCAUCUUCAAAGUUUGUCUCUUGAUUAUUAUUGAUACACAGUAAUGUGAAGUAUGCUUAUAUCUAGUAUAACUGGACCAACCUGGUGCUCUUCAUUUAUGGAGGCUGUUGAGUCUGAAUGUUGGAUGUUGUGUAUCUCGUGUUCUCUGGGCUUUGUUGUCCUCAGUCUUUUUGCAGGAUCAGAAAACAAAACCAGGAGGCCUGUAAAUGUUUCUUCUCCAAUUGGAUGAUGAUAAGACUGUGACACGGGAUGCCACCUUUAGUCUUGUGAUGAAGCAAAGCUCAGGAAGAAGUGUGAUUAAAUUGUACCCACAUGUGUGCUGCUGAGAAGGAUGUACAGGGGCACCUGCAGCCAAAUCCAAGCCUCCUCAGAUGGUGAUGGUGUGGAGAGACGGUGGUGUUUCCUCAGAAGAACUAGCAGAGUCACCAAGGACACGAGUCCAUCUCACCACCUUGACUUGCUGACUGAUGCUCGUCUGCACUGCACAGAGGAAAUCAACUGACCGAGGUAAAUCUCCAGUUUCUGAGUGAGGGAGAGAGGAGUCAUCAUCCAGGUAAAGUGACGUGGAUCAGUGGAUACACUUGUCUCUCCUUUAAAGGAGACACUCUUAGAGAGAGAUGAUCCGAGUCAUCAUAAAAUAUGGACAGGAUAUCAGUCUUGGACUGUCUGACCUGCAGCACUGAAUGAUCACCACACAUGAGCAUGUUCCUGCAACAUUCAGCAGCUUUGCUUUUGCUGGAGAGGAAACUACACCAGUGUACUGGGAUGUUUCACCAACACGUGCCAGAUGCUGUUCCUUCAUGGUGACAUCACCAGAGACGGCCCCGCCCACCUCAUGACCUCGCCAUUGAUCAUGAUGAUUAUAAUAAUGACAGCGAGCGGAACUAAGACUGUAAAAAUCCACGACCAGAAUGUUUAGAUGCUUUCUAAUUAUUAAUGAAUACUGAGAGCCUCUUUCUGUCUUUUGUCUGUUUUGGGUUUUUUUACCUCAUUUGUUACUAACAAAGUUCACCAAACUCACACAGUUUACAUUCUGUAUGUUUCCAUCUUUACCAGCCACACUCUUAACUGCAAUUAAGCAAAUAAUCCGUAGAAAUCGUCGUUUUUCUCUUUUGUAAUUGAUGAUAAUUCAGUGAAUAUACUGCGCUGCUUCCUUUUAUUGCGUCACACAUUGCUUUAAGUUUUUCAGUGUCCAGUUAUUUUUUUACUGCUGUUUGAAUUCUCUGCAUGUUUGACCCUGUAGACUGUUUAAUGGACUGCUUGUCUUGUAACCGCUGCCUGUUUUUGACUAAAGAUUUGGAUUUCUGACUGUAA